GUCUGGGAAACUGCCUGAUGGAGGGGGAUAACUACUGGAAACGGUGGCUAAUACCGCAUAACGUCGCAAGACCAAAGAGGGGGACCUUCGGGCCUCUUGCCAUCAGAUGUGCCCAGAUGGGAUUAGCUUGUUGGUGAGGUAACGGCUCACCAAGGCGACGAUCCCUAGCUGGUCUGAGAGGAUGACCAGCCACACUGGAACUGAGACACGGUCCAGACUCCUACGGGAGGCAGCAGUGGGGAAUAUUGCACAAUGGGCGCAAGCCUGAUGCAGCCAUGCCGCGUGUAUGAAGAAGGCCUUCGGGUUGUAAAGUACUU
rnacentral:rRNA from 3 species